CUUCUGGCUAAAUCCCAAAUGGCACCCUAAAUGACCAGUUCAAAAGUAGUGCACUUUAUAGGGAACAGGGUGUCAUUUGGGCCAAAUAUAGGAUAAUUUGACUGUAGCCUUCUGCGUUCAGCAGAGACCACUUUUUCCUUGUUGGCACUUUAUCUGUUGGUUAGUAGGUGUUAUUAUAUUAUUGAACCUCUUGAGCCAUACGCUAUUGGGUUAGUCAGACUGAUCAGCAAGUCUCAAUAAGGUGUUGGGAUCAACAAGUCUCAAUAAGGUGUUGGGUUAGUCAGGCUGAUCGGCAAGUCUCAAUAAGGUGUUGGGAUCAACAAGUCUCAAUAAGGUGUUGGGUUAGUCAGGCUGAUCAACAAGUCUCAAUAAGGUGUUGGGUUAGUCAGGCUGAUCAGCAAGUCUCAAGUCUCAAACACCUUAGUAAUAUAUUCUGUCCAUGGACUCAUGCUACUCAUUUUCACUGGGGUUGUGUGUCCCAAAUGGCAACUCAUUCUACAUUUGACCAGGGCCCAUAUGGGGG
ensembl:lncRNA